UUAUUAGUGAUUUGGAUAAAUCAAAUUAUUGAUAUACUUAAAAAAAAAUGAUGUCGACUAUUCACCUUUGAUCUCUAAGACUCUUCUUCACGUCACAAUUCACCAUCUCCACUGCAAUGUCUUCCAAUGCCUUGAUUGUCCUUUUCAUAGAAAGCGGUAGGCAGAAAAAUGUGUCAUAUUUGUGUAAGGUCAAAAAUGGACUUUGAUGUCUUGAAAUAUCUCUUAUGAAUGUCAUUAUAGAGGAUCCUUCUCUACAUAUCCUACUUAUAUAAAAUUGAUAUCUUUCAAUGCAGCCAUAACCUAACAUUCUCUUUUUUCGUCUUUGUUAUGUAUCUUUAUAAGAGUUUGUCAUACUCAUAAUGGAAGCUAGCUGCAGAGUUCGAUUGCAGAACCGACUUGUUGCAGAAUCAGGAUUUUGGAGAAUGAACAAGUUCUGAAAGGAAACCUGAAGAAUCGAUUGGAGAAUGAAAGAAAAAAAUGAAGAACCGAUGAAAGAAAAAAUGAAGAAUUGAUUGGAGGAUGAAAGAAAAAGUGAAGAAUCAAUUGGAGAAUGAAGGCCAGAAUGAAGAAUCGUUUGAGUCAACUUGUCAUUUGGAAAUUAGCUGGAAGUUAUUGUGAACUAUCUUGUAGGUUAAUAGACUUAGAUGCAAGGCGAUGCUAAUGUGAUGCAGCUGGGGUCGGGAAUUACCGGGUAUGCUUCAGUUCUGCAGGUUUGCUAGUUUUGAUUUUUUUGCUUGGAAAUUGGCAUAUUAGGUGUUAAGGCGGAAAUGGUCAUGUACUGAUCUGUUGGAUACCGUGUCUUUGUCAUGUAUAUUACUGUUACUUACGUGUGGCUGAUUGUAUGAAUUGUUGCCAGAUGCAUAUGCCGCUAGUGAUGUGCUUUAGUUCAGCUGCAAUUCGCAUUGUUGGAUUUUAAUAGAUAAUUGUUGGUUGGGUUACAUGGUAAUAGGCUAUAAAGCUAGUGUAGUAUGUAUGAAAUUGUUGUGGAAAAUUUAUAGUUUCAAAUGUUUCUGAACAGGAUCAAUUAGGAUAUGUUUAAAUUAGAAAAUCACAAGAUAUAUUGAUGCCAUGUGGUAAAUUGAAUUGGGACUGGUGUAGGUUAUGUUGAAUUGUUAGGAAUUAGUUUGAAAUGCGAUGUGCUAAUGCUGCUGAACUUGAAUUGGACAGGAUGGCGGGGUUUGGGAUUUCUGUUACUAUUCUGAUGAAGGUCCCAUAAAUGAUCUCAAAUGUUCAACUCUUUCACGGCCUUGAAGUGUAUGUCAUAUGUUGCGUUCACUAUUACACGUUUUGCAUCAGAAUUUGCGAGUUUAGGAUUGUUUUAAGUUUGUUAACCAGUUCGAAGUGGACUAAACGGAAGUAAAUUUGUUAAUUGUUUUAACGGUUUGAGAUGUUGAUGUGGCGAUGAAAUUGGUGGUGCUUAGAAUGUGUUAUUCUAUUGGUACCCAUUACAAUGCCACGAUGUAAUGCAGGGUUCUUAUAAUAUGCAAAAUGCCCCAGAUGCUGCUGUUGAUGAAAGAUGCAGAAAGGCCAUGCCUAUUGUGUUACAAGAUGCAUGUUCAAUUGGCUUGUGAUGACAACAAAACUUCUUCAUGAAGAACCAAGUAGAUUGCCCAAUCAAGAUCAAUCAUGGAACAUGAGGAUUUAGGAUUAGGACAUUUAGGGAUGUAAAGUAAUUAAGUUGACUUUGGUCAAUGUUGACCAAAAAGUCAAUCGUUGACCAAAGUUAACAAUUGGUUCGAAGUUCAUCAUUUUUUUUGUAUUAUUUUUUGGAAUGGAUAAUAAUGGGUUGUAAAUUGCUAAUGGAUGAAAUCUUGAAUGAUCUUGAUAUUGUAAUGAA